rnacentral:rRNA from 1 species
UACGUAGGGUGCGAGCGUUAAUCGGAAUUACUGGGCGUAAAGCGUGCGCAGGCGGUUAUGUAAGACAGUUGUGACAUCCCCGGGCUCAACCUGGGAAUUGCAUCUGUGACUGCAUAGCUAGAGUACGGUAGAGGGGGAUGGAAUUCCGCGUGUAGCAGUGAAAUGCGUAGAUAUGCGGAGGAACACCGAUGGCGAAGGCAAUCCCCUGGACCUGUGCUGACGCUCAUGCACGAAAGCGUGGGGAGCAAACAGG